rnacentral:rRNA from 1 species
GCCUACGGGGGGCAGCAGUAGGGAAUCUUCCACAAUGGGCGAAAGCCUGAUGGAGCAACGCCGCGUGGGUGAAGAAGGUCUUCGGAUCGUAAAACCCUGUUGUUAGAGAAGAAAGUGCGUGAGAGUAACUGUUCACGUUUCGACGGUAUCUAACCAGAAAGCCACGGCUAACUACGUGCCAGCAGCCGCGGUAAUACGUAGGUGGCAAGCGUUAUCCGGAUUUAUUGGGCGUAAAGGGAACGCAGGCGGUAUUUUAAGUCUGAUGUGAAAGCCUUGGGCUUAACAGGAGUAGUGCAUUGGAAACU